rnacentral:tRNA from 1 species
GGGGCUGUAGCUCAGUGACAGAGUGCUUGCCUAACAUGCAGAGGCACUGGGUUCCAUCCUCAGCACCACA